rnacentral:misc_RNA from 1 species
GAUGAAGAACGCAGCGAAAUGCGAAAAGUAAUGUGAAUUGCAGAAUUCAGUGAACCAUCGAAUCUUUGAACGCACAUUGCGCCCGCUGGAACUCCGGCGGGCACGCCUGUCCGAGCGUCAUUUCAACCCUCAGGCCCCCCUUCGCGGGCGGGCCUGGUGUUGGGGCCCGGCCGCUACCCUGCGGCCGUCCCCUAAAUCCAGUGGCGGCCUCGCCGUGAUCCCUUGCGUAGUAAUGCACCUCGCACCGGAGAGCGCCGUGGCCACGCCGUAAAACCCCCAAUUUUCAAUGGUUGACCUCGGAUCAGGUGGGAAUACCCGCUGAACUUAAGCAUAUCAAUAAGCGGAGG